rnacentral:rRNA from 1 species
GUAGGUGGCAAGCGUUGUCCGGAAUUAUUGGGCGUAAAGCGCGCGCAGGCGGUUCUUUAAGUCUGAUGUGAAAGCCCACGGCUCAACCGUGGAGGGUCAUUGGAAACUGGAGAACUUGAGUACGGAAGAGGAAAGCGGAAUUCCACGUGUAGCGGUGAAAUGCGUAGAGAUGUGGAGGAACACCAGUGGCGAAGGCGGCUUUCUGGUCUGUAACUGACGCUGAGGCGCGAAAGCGUGGGGAGCAAACAGGGAUUAGAUACCCUGGUAGUCCACGCCGUAAACGAUGAGUGCUAAGUGUUAGGGGGUUUCCCGCCCCUUAGUGCUGCAGCUAACGCAUUAAGCACUCCGCCUGGGGAGUACGGCCGCAAGGCUG